ensembl:misc_RNA
UUAGCAGCCCCAGAGACUGAAGCCCUCUGUCCACAGAACAGAUACAGCAUGGGCAACAGCACAAGCUUCCUCCCCCAACUCUCUAUGAUAUGCUCCAACCUUAACCUGAAGGGAGAGCAAGUGAGGAAAGGAUAAUUUAGUAUCAUGUCCAUUCUGUUUUUGAUAUUGCU